rnacentral:sRNA from 1 species
GCACUGCCCUUGAACUGUCUUUAGAGAGGGACUGGCCUGCCGACUUGGAAGGGCACGGGCAGCUGUCUGAGCGGUGGGGAGGCCAGGUUCCAGAGGCUUGGAGGGAUCCCGUUCCUCAGGCUGGGUUCUCCGUCCACUUGUGCCCUGAGGGUCCUGUGAGGAAAGUUUUCAUCCUGGAAGAACCUUCGAAUGGAGAACCUGUCUUGUCUGGUGCCAUCGUGGGGGCGGCUGGCUGAGCUGGCAGAGAGGCCGAUGACAUCGUGAACUGGCUGAAGAAGCGCACGGGCCCGGCUGCCACCACCCUGCCUGACGGCGCAGCUGCAGAGUCCUUGGUGGAGUCCAGCGAGGUGGCUGUCGUCGGCUUCUUCAAGGACGUGGAGUCAGACUCUGCCAAGCAGUUUUUGCAGGCAGCAGAGGCCAUCGAUGACAUACCAUUUGGGAUCACUUCCAACAGUGACGUGUUCUCCAAAUACCAGCUCGACAAAGAUGGGGUUGUCCUCUUUAAGAAGUUUGAUGAAGGCCGGAACAACUUUGAAGGGGAGGUCACCAAGGAGAACCUGCUGGACUUUAUCAAACACAACCAGCUGCCCCUUGUCAUCGAGUUCACCGAGCAGACAGCCCCGAAGAUUUUUGGAGGUGAAAUCAAGACUCACAUCCUGCUGUUCUUGCCCAAGAGUGUGUCUGACUAUGAUGGCAAACUGAGCAACUUCAAAACAGCAGCCGAGAGCUUCAAGGGCAAGAUCUUGUUCAUCUUCAUCGACAGCGACCACACCGACAACCAGCGCAUCCUCGAGUUCUUUGGCCUAAAGAAGGAAGAGUGCCCGGCUGUGCGCCUCAUCACCCUGGAGGAGGAGAUGACC